GAUCAUUAYUGAGUGAGGGCCCUCUGGGUCCAACCUCCCACCCGUGUUUUAUUGUACCUUGUUGCUUCGGCAGGCCCGCCUCACGGCCGCCGGGGGGCCUCUGCCCCCGGGCCCGCGCCUGCCGAAGACACCCUUGAACGCUGUCUGAAGUUUGCAGUCUGAGCGAAAAGCAAAAUUUAUUAAAACUUUCAACAACGGAUCUCUUGGUUCCGGCAUCUGAUGAARAACGCAGCGAAAUGCGAUAACUAAUGUGAAUUGCAGAAUUCAGUGAAUCAUCGAGUCUUUGAACGCACAUUGCGCCCCCUGGUAUUCCGGGGGGCAUGCCUGUCCGAGCGUCAUUGCUGCCCUCAAGCACGGCUUGUGUGUUGGGCCUCCGUCCCCCACCCGGGGGACGGGCCCGAAAGGCAGCGGCGGCACCGUGUCCGGUCCUCGAGCGUAUGGGGCUUUGUCACCCGCUCUGUAGGCCCGGCCGGCGCCUGCCGAACCUCAUCAUCCUUUUUUCAGGUUGACCUCGGAUCAGGUAGGGAUACCCGCUSAACUUAAGCAUAUCAAUAAUCG
rnacentral:rRNA from 1 species